ACGAACGCUGGCGGCACGCUUAACACAUGCAAGUCGAACGAGAGAAGAGAAGCUUGCUUUUCUGAUCUAGUGGCGGACGGGUGAGUAACACGUGAGCAAUCUGCCUUUCAGAGGGGGAUACCGAUUGGAAACGAUCGUUAAUACCGCAUAAUAUAAUUGAACCGCAUGAUUUGAUUAUCAAAGAUUUAUCGCUGAAAGAUGAGCUCGCGUCUGAUUAGCUAGUUGGUAAGGUAACGGCUUACCAAGGCGACGAUCAGUAGCCGGACUGAGAGGUUGAUCGGCCACAUUGGGACUGAGACACGGCCCAGACUCCUACGGGAGGCAGCAGUGGGGAAUAUUGCACAAUGGAGGAAACUCUGAUGCAGCGAUGCCGCGUGAGGGAAGAAGGUUUUAGGAUUGUAAACCUCUGUCUUCAGGGACGAAAAAAGACGGUACCUGAGGAGGAAGCUCCGGCUAACUACGUGCCAGCAGCCGCGGUAAUACGUAGGGAGCGAGCGUUGUCCGGAAUUACUGGGUGUAAAGGGAGCGUAGGCGGGAUCGCAAGUCAGAUGUGAAAACUAUGGGCUUAACCCAUAAACUGCAUUUGAAACUGUGGUUCUUGAGUGAAGUAGAGGUAAGCGGAAUUCCUAGUGUAGCGGUGAAAUGCGUAGAUAUUAGGAGGAACAUCAGUGGCGAAGGCGGCUUACUGGGCUUUAACUGACGCUGAGGCUCGAAAGCGUGGGGAGCAAACAGGAUUAGAUACCCUGGUAGUCCACGCCGUAAACGAUGAUUACUAGGUGUGGGGGGACUGACCCCUUCCGUGCCGCAGCAAACGCAAUAAGUAAUCCACCUGGGGAGUACGACCGCAAGGUUGAAACCCAAAGGAAUUGACGGGGGCCCGCACAAGCAGUGGAGUAUGUGGAUUAAUUCGAAGCAACGCGAAGAACCUUACCAGGUCUUGACAUCGUAUGCAUAGCUCAGAGAUGAGUGAAAUCUCUUCGGAGACAUAUAGACAGAUGGUGCAUGGUUGUCGUCAGCUCGUGUCGUGAGAUGUUGGGUUAAGUCCCGCAACGAGCGCAACCCUUACUGUUAGUUGCUACGCAAGAGCACUCUAGCAGGACUGCCGUUGACAAAACGGAGGAAGGUGGGGAUGACGUCAAAUCAUCAUGCCCCUUAUGACCUGGGCCUCACACGUACUACAAUGGCUGUUAACAGAGGGAUGCAAAGCCGCGAGGUGGAGCGAACCCCUAAAAGCAGUCUUAGUUCGGAUUGUAGGCUGCAACCCGCCUACAUGAAGUCGGAAUUGCUAGUAAUCGCAGAUCAGCAUGCUGCGGUGAAUACGUUCCCGGGCCUUGUACACACCGCCCGUCACGCCAUGGGAGUCGGUAACACCCGAAGCCUGUAGUCUAACCGCAAGGAGGACGCAGUCGAAGGUGGGAUUGAUGACUGGGGUG
rnacentral:rRNA from 1 species